GUCCGUAGGCCCUAACCAGGCAAACGUGGCACUGGGCGUGCUGCUGCUGAUAGCUGUCAUCGCCAUCAUCGUUCUGGUGGCGUGCCUCGUGCAUGUUAAGCGGACACACAAGCCUUUCACCGAACUGACUGAGAAGACGUCCAUCAACACCUAAGUCGACUAGGCGAAGCUGUUUUAACGUCUCCGAUGCUUUUCUCGCUCUCUUAAUUGCACAAGGACUUUAGUGGAAAAGAUAUGUUAAGGCAAUAGGUUGCUAUUUUGCUAAAAUGCCUUAUGAAACUGUAAUGUAAUUUAAUACUUAGAACCUUUCAUUAUUACUAUGACAUGAGCAACCCAUGUUUAGUAUAGACAUGGCAAUAUUGCAUGUACGACAAAAUAUGUUAAAAUGUUAGGUCUUUGAUGCAAAGAUUCUUGAUUCUUGUGAUUUGAAAGUAGACGCACUGCAUAUCUGUCACUACGAGAUUUAAGGGCCCCAUCGCUUCAGAUAGUAUAAUAAGACACUGAUUUAGAUAACUACAUGGAUCAAUAAGAUAUCUAGAAACCUAGAUAUACAACAUUACAAAUUCUGUGUGAUAUUGGAUUACGCACAUGCAUGCCACAGCCGAGAGUGUAGUUUUCUAUCGGGAAGGCAGUUGAUGCAUAGAUGUUGCUGAAAUAAAGGUGUCAAUUCUAGAAAGUCA